GACGAACGUUAGCGGCGUGCUUAACACAUGCAAGUCGAACGGAAAGGCCCUGCUUUUGUGGGGUGCUCGAGUGGCGAACGGGUGAGUAACACGUGAGUAACCUGCCCUUGACUUUGGGAUAACUUCAGGAAACAGGGGCUAAUACCGGAUAGGAGCUCCUGCUGCAUGGUGGGGGUUGGAAAGUUUCGGCGGUUGGGGAUGGACUCGCGGCUUAUCAGCUUGUUGGUGGGGUAGUGGCUUACCAAGGCUUUGACGGGUAGCCGGCCUGAGAGGGUGACCGGCCACAUUGGGACUGAGAUACGGCCCAGACUCCUACGGGAGGCAGCAGUGGGGAAUAUUGCACAAUGGGCGGAAGCCUGAUGCAGCAACGCCGCGUGCGGGAUGACGGCCUUCGGGUUGUAAACCGCUUUCGCCUGUGACGAAGCGUGAGUGACGGUAAUGGGUAAAGAAGCACCGGCUAACUACGUGCCAGCAGCCGCGGUGAUACGUAGGGUGCGAGCGUUGUCCGGAUUUAUUGGGCGUAAAGGGCUCGUAGGUGGUUGAUCGCGUCGGAAGUGUAAUCUUGGGGCUUAACCCUGAGCGUGCUUUCGAUACGGGUUGACUUGAGGAAGGUAGGGGAGAAUGGAAUUCCUGGUGGAGCGGUGGAAUGCGCAGAUAUCAGGAGGAACACCAGUGGCGAAGGCGGUUCUCUGGGCCUUUCCUGACGCUGAGGAGCGAAAGCGUGGGGAGCGAACAGGCUUAGAUACCCUGGUAGUCCACGCUGUAAACGGUGGGUACUAGGUGUGGGGUCCAUUCCACGGGUUCCGUGCCGUAGCUAACGCUUUAAGUACCCCGCCUGGGGAGUACGGCCGCAAGGCUAAAACUCAAAGGAAUUGACGGGGCCCCGCACAAGCGGCGGAGCAUGCGGAUUAAUUCGAUGCAACGCGUAGAACCUUACCUGGGUUUGACAUGGAUCGGGAGUGCUCAGAGAUGGGUGUGCCUCUUUUGGGGUCGGUUCACAGGUGGUGCAUGGCUGUCGUCAGCUCGUGUCGUGAGAUGUUGGGUUAAGUCCCGCAACGAGCGCAACCCUUGUUCACUGUUGCCAGCACGUUAUGGUGGGGACUCAGUGGAGACCGCCGGGGUCAACUCGGAGGAAGGUGGGGAUGACGUCAAGUCAUCAUGCCCCUUAUGUCCAGGGCUUCACGCAUGCUACAAUGGCUGGUACAGAGAGUGGCGAGCCUGUGAGGGUGAGCGAAUCUCGGAAAGCCGGUCUCAGUUCGGAUUGGGGUCUGCAACUCGACCUCAUGAAGUCGGAGUCGCUAGUAAUCGCAGAUCAGCAACGCUGCGGUGAAUACGUUCCCGGG
rnacentral:rRNA from 1 species